CUGACGGGGAGGCGGCAGCAGAGUAAAGCGGGCUGGAAAAGACCAACUCUGAUGCUGCGUGGAGCAAAAACAGAGGAAGCCCGAUGAAUAUUGAUGAGUGAAUUUUGCGAGAAAAAUGAGGGAGAAAAAAGCGAUGUGUUGACAGCAUGGAGAGAUUAAAUUAGCAGCUGCAGCGCCGGGAACAUUGAAUCAUAUUAAGGAUCAGCAGCAGAGGAGCGGAGGAGGAGGAGAGGCUGUACCUGCAGGCCUCUGCUUUCAGGAACCCGGCACCGCAAAACAUCAGGACAUCCGCUAAAUAGCCCACAGAAAACCUCUCACCCAGGGCAGGGAAGUUUAGACAAAUACGCUUUAUUCUUAUUUCGAUCCUUAUGAAAACACCUGGAGAAUGAAAAAAUUUAAACAGCCUGAAAAUCAUUUAAAACGCGGCAGAAACAGUGAAGCUGCAGUAAAUUAAAAUCACGCCUGAACGACAGAUAUCCGAAAUAUCGAAGGAUCGAAUUACGGAUCAGAGUCACGUCACGUCACGUCAGAUCACACGCACUGCAAUAUGAAUGACUCGGUCUGAAUGAAACGAACCUGAAAAGUUCUGAAUGAAUGUCACUGCGUGACGGUGGUCUCAGAGGGUGGCACGCCGGGAGCCCGCAGGAACACCGAGUCCAGACUUUUCACACAGUUUCAUUUCAGCGUCGCUUCAUUUGAAUUUUCGAAUAAUUAUCCUGCUCACAGAAAUAAUGAUUUCAGCCAGAAAACCAGGUUUCACACAGCUGUGCUGUUCAGCAUCAGGGUUCUAACAUAUGAUUUGAUGCGCCUGAAUUAAUCACUUGUUGCACACUAUUUAAAAUCAGCAGCCUGUUUUCUCCACAAUACUUUGGAAACAGCUUCAGUGUAUUUUUAACAUCACUGAAUUUAGUCAAAAUAAGAACAAAACAAAAAAAAAGAAAAGAAAAGAAAACAACGACACUUUAAACAUAAAAGCAUCAAAUUUUCGUCCUUAAAGCACAGCCUGAGUGUUUCAGUGUGAGUGGAGUCUUCCUCUGGUCAGUCCACCGCGCACUUUUUUUCAACCCUGUGCAACUAAAUGGAGCGCUCACUGAAUUUCUCCAAAAACAUAUUUAGAAAAAGAUGAAAAUAAUAAUCUCUGCAGAAUGUGUGUUUACAGCCCUCUCCACAGCAAUGCAUGUCUCUUUAAAUCCCGUCUUAACGCAAAAUUCAGUGUGUAUCGUUUUAAAAACUAGUCGAGUUCGUUUUAUUGAGGACGUAGAAUCCACGCCAAUAUUGAAUUCCCGAACAGUUGAUUUGUAAUUUACAGUCACCAUAGGGAGCCAAUUUACACUCUCCAACUGCACAGCCAUACACGAAAGAACAACACUGUAUUGGUUUGUAGCUGAAGUGAAAUGCUGAAACCAGCUGGGAGUUCGUGGUGGUAAAAACUCAAGCAGAGAGACAGUCAUGGGUUCAAAUCUAAUUUGCCUUGUGCACAACACAAACUCAGGAAAAGCUGCUGAGUAGCAACAGAACUCAGGGCCCAAUGCUUUGCCUGGAAGGGAGCUUGUUACUGCACACACUCACUGUGUAACAGGCCUUCUUCCACAAGUGAAAGUGUGAGCUACGAGGAACACUGCACACUUAUCACAAAGAAUACAAUGUGAGACACUUCAGAGAAGGCCAGCAGACCUCUUGCUCUUUAUUCUGAAAAUUAUGUUUUGAACUGCAGCUGGCAAUAAGCAUGUUUAUUGAUAACACUAAAUGGAAAGCGGUGCACAGCUAUGCAACAGCAUCAAUUGUUGGCACUUGGCCUAAAGAAUCACAAACUAACAAAAUCUCUGAUGACCAAAAUGAUGCUGAUGAUUCUGGGAAACUGUUCAGUCGAGCUGGACGCUGAUCUCACCAAAAACCUGCAGCACUCUUCUUAUAUUCUACUGCCGGCUGCUGACCCGAUUAGCUAAUACUGUCACAGUCCUGCUGAAUAUUCACAAGUUUUGUUCUCUCAUCACACAUUUCCAAGCAGGAGCUCUGAUCAGAAUCAAGAAAUCUCAAAGUUUGAGCAGUUUAUAAGUCAGGGAGCCAACUGUGUCAUCUUCACUGACUGAAAUCAGGGAGCAGAUUUAGGAGCUCAGUAACAGCACACAUGUUCCUCUGAGUUCAUGUAAACAGUGCUGCUCAGUUCAGCCAUUCAGAAUUUCUUUCCGUGUACUCCCACGUCACUGCCCACUUGCUAGAAAUCAAUAAUUGUAUAUAUUUAAAACAUUUUUAGGGAUUUUGGUGCGUGUGGAACUUUUGUUACAUUUCAAACAUGUCCGUGGUGGUGACGGAGACUUCCUCUGUAUUAAAAUGUGCACCUCUGAAGAUAUUUAAUAAUGUAAAGUGUUUGCAAGAACAUGACAAAAUAAAGUGACUUUCAUCUGCAAA